AGCUAGUAAAAUGUUCACUUCUAAAAUGUACCCUGUCCCGGCGUUUUAUGUAUGGUGUUUUAUGAGUGUGGGUGUGCGUGUUGCGUAUAGAUUUCUUGAUGUGGACUAUUAAUCAUAGUUUACGUGUGUUUGCAUUUGGAUUUCUAUGACGCUAAAAAUAAAUACACAUGUACCUUAUCAAGAAAUACAUACGCAACUAGUGUGCUUGCGUUUGCGUUGAUGUGUACAUGUAAGCGGAUAUGUACGCACACUAAACGUGUGUGUGUGUAUUUGUUGUUACAAAACGUACCUAAACAAUGAAUAAAUCUGAACUUUCGACACACAGGUUGCCCUUCUUCUUCCUCUGUGCCGGUGUGUGUCGAGAGUCAACUACCACACCAUCGCUACGAUUAGUGCAGGCUGAACCAAAAGAGCCAUGAGCCAUGUCGUUCCGUGCAGGCCAUUCUCAUGUGAGUAGUUGUAAUGUGAGUAGUGAACUGUUUUGAGCAGGGGGCAGACGUGUGCAUCCACAGGUGUUCCGCACAAAAGUUGUAUCUUCAAUGAGACUGGUUGACGGGUUAACUGGUGCAAGUGCUGCUUCUAGUAGAUCUGGAUCUGUUUCAGGUGUGGUGCUAUCUUCGCUAUCUUCGUCAUCAUCUAAACAAAGGAAAGAACCUUUUAAUUAAAAUUUUAUUUCUUACCUUGCAGCGAGAGGUCAGUAGCGUAAGCCAUCAAGCCAUCAAUUAUCAACCGGGGUUUGCGCCUAGCGUUAUAUCUCAGGCUAGUUUCUACAUGUCCUCUACAAGUACUAUAUACGAGCCGUCAAUUAGUUAUCGUCCACAGCUAUCUGCUUUCUAUUAUCUAUUAUCGGUCCUAUUAUCGACUAGCUACAUACAGCAAAGUGUGCCGUUACUCAGCAACAAGGCAAAUUUCAAGCACACCAUCAUUCUCAGCAGGUCUGACAACCCUUUACCAAAUAAUCUUAUUUUGUGCAAUAAAUUUGACAACUGUACAUCAAUUAUACGCCGCACACUAUAUACUACUUAACACCACAGUAGCUGACUCUAGCAGAGAGGACAACGUUUGUUGCCAAUAGAGCUGUCCGUAUUGUGCAAAAUCAAACUCGUCAAACACACUUCUCAAUAGGUCGAAGUACUCUCGCAUAUUUUCAGCAUUAAUAGCAUCCAUGCGUACUCCAGCAGUAGCAGCAGUAGCAGCAGUAGACUCAGUAGACUCACCAGCUAAGACUUGGGUGCUUCAUAAAGUUCCCAUUCGUUAUUGUUUUGGAAAGGGUAUAUUUUGGAUAUAUUUGUAUCCCUUUGUAAUUAUAGAACAAAUUAGACUAUAAUUAGAACAAACUGCAAAUCAAUGAAAUAUUGGAAAAAAUGGGUGUACCCAUAGCAACUUAUUUGUUAUUCAUUAGGAGUCACAUGAGACCUUGUGCACUUUGUACUCUACUGAAUGAUGCGCGUGCGCACCUGGAAACUGCAAGGCACUUAACCCUUUCCCGGCUUUAGCCGUCAUACGGUAGUGAUAAUUUUCAAAAAAUCGUUGUGGGCGCUGUGUUGGAGCUAUGCGCACGCUGUAGGUACCAGCACAUUGUAGGUACCAGCACAUGCGCAUUGGGCUGCUCUUUCACGUGGUAUCUUUAAUAUCUUUAAACGCUUCAUGCAGUACUGUCGAGAAAAGUGACCGUUUGAUAAGGCUACAAGAUCUUUGUAGUACAGGUUCUAGGGCAACUAGACAGUGAUGCUUAUGGCCUUGUUGAGUAAGAGGACAGUGACUGAGAUCUACUUUUCAGAGGUCAAGCUAUAAAUAUAGAGGCUGAAGAGCCGGAGGAAGAAGCUCCUGAGCAUGAACCAAAGUCCUGGACCUUGUGAAGAAAACAUUUCCCGGGAAAAGAGCGUCUGCCGAUACGACCUCGCAGAGAAGUUUCUGCUGAUCCUGAUUGAACCAUGUUACCGUGAGAACACUUACUUAGUGUCUUUAGUUACUUCAUGCCUUACUUCAUGCCUUCAUACAAUAUUGUUUAUGUUCAUAAUUGUGAAAUGUGUAAAAAAUCGUUAAUUAGUGGGGGGUGGUCAGUUGCUAGGUAAUGAUGAUGAUGUCAUGGUACCCCCCAGUCAUGGUACCCCCAGGAUCUGGGCUACCUGUAGGAAAUAGUUGCAAGUGAUAACAAUGCAUUGUUCAUGAGAUAUGUAUUUUUAAAGAAAAAUGUGUAUUUAUUCUGUAUUUUGUUUUUUUAAUUAAAGCCGGGAAAGGGUUAAUUGAUGAAAAA